rnacentral:rRNA from 1 species
UGGGCAAUAUUGGACAAUGGGCGAAAGCCUGAUCCAGCCAUGCCGCGUGAGUGAUGAAGGCCCUAGGGUUGUAAAGCUCUUUCACCGGGGAAGAUAAUGACGGUACCCGGAGAAGAAGCCCCGGCUAACUUCGUGCCAGCAGCCGCGGUAAUACGAAGGGGGCUAGCGUUGUUCGGAAUUACUGGGCGUAAAGCGCACGUAGGCGGACUAUUAAGUCAGGGGUGAAAUCCCGGGGCUCAACCCCGGAACUGCCUUUGAUACUGGUAGUCUAGAGUUCGAGAGAGGUGAGUGGAAUUCCGAGUGUAGAGGUGAAAUUCGUAGAUAUUCGGAGGAACACCAGUGGCGAAGGCGGCUCACUGGCUCGAUACUGACGCUGAGGUGCGAAAGCGUGGGGAGCAAACA